rnacentral:rRNA from 1 species
AGAGUUUGAUCCUGGCUCAGAACGAACGCUGGCGGCGUGGAUGAGGCAUGCAAGUCGAACGGAAAGGCCUCGUUUGAUCCUUCGGGUGAAAACGAGGUACUCGAGUGGCGGAAGGGUGAGUAAUGCAUGGGUAACGUACCCUUCGCUCGGGGAUAGCCCGGGGAAACCCGGGGCAAUACCCGAUGAGACCCCGUCUCCUAUGAGAUGUGGUCAAAGGUGGGGACCCCUUCGGGGGCCUACCGGCGAUGGAGCGGCCCAUGUCCUAUCAGCUUGUUGGUGGGGUAAGAGCCCACCAAGGCGACGACGGGUACCGGGACUGAGAGGUUGACCCGGCACAUUGGGACUGAGACACUGCCCAAACUCCUACGGGAGGCUGCAGUCGAGAAUCUUCCACAAUGGGCGAAAGCCUGAUGGAGCGACGCCGCGUGUGGGAAGACGCCCCUCGGGGUGUAAACCACUGUCAGGGAUUACCAAGCAACGGGGACGAACAGUCCCCUGCGUUGAGGAGUCCCAGAGGAAGCCACGGCUAACUUCGUGCCAGCAGCCGCGGUAAUACGAAGGUGGCUAGCGUUGUUCGGAAUCACUGGGCUUAAAGAGCACGUAGGCGGCCCGUCAAGCGUCAUGUGAAAGCCCUCGGCCCAACCGAGGAACGGCUUGGCGAACUGGCGGGCUUGAGGCAGGUAGGGGCGCAUGGAACUCUUGGUGGAGCGGUGGAAUGCGUAGAUAUCAAGAGGAACGCCGGAGGCGAAGGCGAUGCGCUGGGCCUGUCCUGACGCUGAGGUGCGAAAGCCAGGGGAGCGAACGGGAUUAGAUACCCCGGUAGUCCUGGCCCUAAACGAUGUCCACUAGGUCGGAGGUCUUUUGACAGAGUUCCGGCCGAAACAAAAGCGUUAAGUGGACCGCCUGGGGAGUACGGUCGCAAGGCUAAAACUCAAAGGAAUUGACGGGGGCUCACACAAGCGGUGGAGCAUGCUGCUUAAUUCGAUGCAACGCGAAGAACCUUAUCCUGGGCUUGACAUACACGGAUGCCUACCUGGAAACAGGGCCGGUUACCUUUCGGGGUGAAACGUGAACAGGUGCUGCAUGGCUGUCGUCAGCUCGUGUCGUGAGAUGUUGGGUUAAGUCCCGUAACGAGCGAAACCCUUGUCGCUAGUUGCCAGCGCGUUAUGGCGGGGACUCUAGCGAGACUGCCGGUGUUAAACCGGAGGAAGGUGGGGAUGACGUCAAGUCCUCAUGGCCUUUAUGCCCAGGGCGGCAAGCGUGCUACAAUGGCCGGGACAGACCGACGCAAGACCGCGAGGUGGAGCAAAUCGGAAAAACCCGGCCCCAGUUCGGAUUGGAGUCUGCAACUCGACUCCAUGAAGUCGGAAUCGCUAGUAAUCGCGUAUCAGCGCGACGCGGUGAAUGUGUUCCUGAGCCUUGUACACACCGCCCGUCAAGUCAUGGAAGCUGGGAGCACCCGAAGUCGUGCCGUUUCCGGCAUGCCGAAGGUGAGUUCGGUGACUGGGACUAAGUCGUAACAAGGUA